AGCAGCCGCGGUAAUUCCAGCUCCAAUAGCGUAUAUUAAAGUUGCUGCAGUUAAAAAGCUCGUAGUUGAAUUUCGGGACCAUCAUGUCGGUCGUGCCUCGGUACGUACUGGCAUUGUUGGUUUCUCCCUUCUGACGAACCAUGAUGUCAUUAAUUUGGUGUCAUGGGGAAUCAGGACUGUUACUUUGAAAAAUUAGAGUGUUUAAAGCAGGCUCACGCUUGAAUACAUUAGCAUGGAAUAAUGAAAUAGGACGUUCGAUUCUAUUUUGUUGGUUUCUAGGAUCGACGUAAUGAUUAAUAGGGAUAGGUUGGGGGCAUUAGUAUUCAAUUGUCAGAGGUGAAAUUCUUGGAUUUAUGAAGACUAACUACUGCGAAAGCAUUUGCCAAGGGUGUUUUCAUUAAUCAAGAACGAAAGUUAGGGGAUCGAAGACGAUCAGAUAC
rnacentral:rRNA from 1 species